UCUGGGCCCAGUCUGCUCUGACUCAGCCUCCCUCUGUCUCUGGAACUCCUGGACAGUCAGUCACCAUCUCCUGUGCUGGAACCAGCAGUGACAUUGGGAAAUAUUAUCAUGUGUCCUGGUUCCAAAGUCAUCCAGGAACAACCCAUAAACUCAUGAUUCAUGGUGUUAGUAGUAGGCCCUCAGGGAUCCCUGCUCGCUUCUCUGGCUCCAAGACUGGCACCACAGCCUCUCUGACCAUCUCUGGGCUACAGCUGGAGGAUGAGGCUGUUUACUACGGCUGUUCAUAUGCAGGCAAUUACAAUUACCACAGUGGGCCAAGUUG
rnacentral:lncRNA from 1 species